AACAACAUUCCCCUCAUGUCUUUGGUAAACUGUAUUUUAAUUGAUGUCAGUCAGGAUUGUUUCAAUUUAGUUAUAGUUAAAUACCACCAUUCUUCAAACUGUGGUAUUGCUGUGUAAAUGUCUCAGUGUUCAGCUAUGGUUUAUGCGAGCUGGGGAUGUUGGGAUGUUUGUGGCUAACUUGUCUCUUCUGGGGGAUCUUAUAUUUUAUCUUGCCUUUUCGUGUGUCUUUCUGUAGACAUAUCUGAAGAGAUGGAUUAAGAAUGCUUUGGAUUAAAGGAUUGUGGAGCACAUGUCAAUCAUUUUAGGAUUGUCAAAAGGAGGAUUGAGGAGGAUCAGAUCAAUAAUGGAGGCAAUGGUUUGGAUUGGAGAGGGCUCACUGGAUCCCAAUCCUUGGAGCUGGAUCAUUGGAUUCAAAUCAUAAUGUGGAUAGGAUAGGGAGGCUGAAUGGCAAGGAUUCAUGGAGCGGGAUCAGAUUACCAGGAACAUAGGAGUGGAUUCCUGCCCCAACCAAACCGCAUUCGUGUGGAUUUUUUUAUUCAACUCAAUUGGCUAUUCCAAAGAUUUUUCUUUCCUAUUUUUGACGAUUGGAGCCCUUAUGAUGCACGAUGGAAUUUUUCAUUUUUUGGUAAAAGGAGCAAAGCGAGGACCUGGAGAGGUACGCUGGAGCAAUCUCCUUGGAAGGAUUCAGCACGAGUAGAUGGAAGCGCCGAUGUUUGAGCUCCUGCACGAAGGAACGGGUGCCCUGUGGGACAUGGAUGGAAUUUAUUAGUUAGGGGAAAAGAAGAAAGAGUUCUAACUGCUAACAGAAGGUGCUUUGCUUUUGGUAAUGAUAACAACUGAAGCGAUUGUGGAAGAGAAGUGUGAGAUCAGCCAGGCCCAGCGCUCCCCUCUGCCUUCCUCAGAAGCUGCUCAGACACUGCAGGCUGCGUCCCCACACCUGGGUUCUCCAGUACUGGCAGACUUGGAGACUGCGUGCAGGAGGCACAUCUAGCAUAAAGGAUGUGGAUGUUCCUUCGGUUUCCUGAUGAG
rnacentral:lncRNA from 1 species